rnacentral:rRNA from 1 species
AUUGAACGCUGGCGGCAUGCCUUACACAUGCAAGUCGAACGGCAGCAUGGAGAGCUUGCUCUCUGAUGGCGAGUGGCGAACGGGUGAGUAAUGCAUCGGAGCGUACCGUGUAAUGGGGGAUAACGUAGCGAAAGUUACGCUAAUACCGCAUACGACCUGAGGGUGAAGGCAGGGGAUCGCAAGACCUUGCGUUAUACGAGCGGCCGAUGUCAGAUUAGCUAGUUGGUGAGGUAAAGGCUCACCAAGGCGACGAUCUGUAGCGGGGCUGAGAGGAUGAUCCGCCAGACGGGGAAUGAGACACGGCCCAGACUCCUACGGGAGGCAGCAGUGGGGAAUUUUGGACAAUGGGGGCAACCCUGAUCAAGCCAUGCCGCGUGAGUGAAGAAGGCCUUCGGGUUGUAAAGCUCUUUCGGCCGGGAAGAAAUCGCACAGGCUAAUACUCUGUGUGGAUGACGGUACCGGCAUAAGAAGCACCGGCUAACUACGUGCCAGCAGCCGCCGUAA